rnacentral:rRNA from 1 species
UGGGGAAUUUUGGACAAUGGGCGAAAGCCUGAUCCAGCAAUGCCGCGUGUGUGAAGAAGGCCUUCGGGUUGUAAAGCACUUUUGUCCGGAAAGAAAUCCUUGGCUCUAAUACAGUCGGGGGAUGACGGUACCGGAAGAAUAAGCACCGGCUAACUACGUGCCAGCAGCCGCGGUAAUACGUAGGGUGCAAGCGUUAAUCGGAAUUACUGGGCGUAAAGCGUGCGCAGGCGGUUUGCUAAGACCGAUGUGAAAUCCCCGGGCUCAACCUGGGAACUGCAUUGGUGACUGGCAGGCUAGAGUAUGGCAGAGGGGGGUAGAAUUCCACGUGUAGUAGUGAAAUGCGUAGAGAUGUGGAGGAAUACCGAUGGCGAAGGCAGCCCCCUGGGCCAAUACUGACGCUCAUGCACGAAAGCGUGGGGAGCAAACAGGAUUAGAUACCCUGGUAGUCCACGCCCUAAAACGAUGUCAACUAGUUGUUGGGGAUUCAUUUCCUUAGUAAUGUAGCUAACGCGUGAAGUUGACCGCCUGGGGAGUACGGUCGCAAGAUUAAAACUCAAAUGAAUUGAC